UCUGUGGGUACAAAUGUGCCUCAGGUUG
rnacentral:piRNA from 1 species